CGGCUAAAAGGCUUGCACUCAAACACUACUCCCAAAUGGCUAAAUUUAUUUUAUUUGCACGGCUAAAAGGCUUGCACCACACCACUACUCCCAAAUGGCUAAAAGCCACAUAGAAGCCUCUUGGCUCGGCCUCCUCUCUUAGCUUAAAUGGGCUGCUACCUGAGGUCGUUUUAUUUACUUUGAGCCUAAAUGAAAUAUAUCGCUCAUAAUGGGUUCUUGAUUAUCACCGCCUUAAUCUUGGCUUUAAUCUAAUUAAUUUUAAUUUUACCUUCUACAGUUG
rnacentral:misc_RNA from 1 species